AAAUUUCACAUGUGAAUUUGGGACAUGUGAUUUUUCACAUGUGAAAUUUCACAUGUGAAAUUAUGUUUCACAUGUUCCAAAUUCACAUGUGAAACUUCACAUGUGAAAUUUCACAUGUGAAGUUUCACAUGUGAAACACAUAAUUUCACAUGUGAAAA